rnacentral:rRNA from 1 species
UACGGAGGGUGCGAGCGUUGUCCGGAAUCAUUGGGCGUAAAGGGCGCGUAGGUGGCCCGGUCAGUUCGUGGUGAAAGCGCGGGGCUCAACCCUGCGUCGGCCAUGAAUACUGCCGCGGCUGGAGCACUGUAGAGGCAGGCGGAAUUCCGGGUGUAGCGGUGGAAUGCGUAGAGAUCGGGAAGAACAUCGGUGGCGAAGGCGGCCAGCUGGGCCAUUGCUGACGCUGAGGCGCGACAGCGUGGGGAGCAAACAGG